AAAGUCGUAACAAGGUUUCCGUAGGUGAACCUGCGGAAGGAUCAUUACCGAAUGACCUGCACCUUCUUGUAGCAGACCGGCGCUCGUUGGGUUGAUCAAGGCUAGUGGCUGAUAUGGGGGGUGGGGUGGCUACUAGUUGUUUGAAAUGAUCAGGCGCGGCGCGGGCCUCUUGGCCCUUUUGGUCUGCUAUGCCUACCAAUACAACCUGUCAUUGCAUGGUGGGGUGGCAUCCUUUUGUUGGGUUUGCCCCCUCAAGUAUGGAAAUAUCAAUAUAUAUAACUUUCAACAACGGAUCUCUUGGCUCUC
rnacentral:misc_RNA from 1 species